rnacentral:rRNA from 1 species
UAAUGGCAGGUCAGCAUACUGCCGUGAAUACGUUCCCGGGCCUUGUACACACCGCCCGUCACACCAUGAGAGUUGGGGAUACCCGAAGCCUGUGAGCUAACUAUUUAUAGGAGCAGCAGUCGAAGGUAGAAUCAAUGAUUGGGGUGAAGUCGUAACAAGGUACC